rnacentral:rRNA from 1 species
UACGGGGGGGGCAAGCGUUGUUCGGAAUUACUGGGCGUAAAGGGCUCGUAGGCGGCCAACUAAGUCGGACGUGAAAUCCCUCGGCUCAACCGGGGAACUGCGUCCGAUACUGGAUGGCUUGAGUUCGGGAGAGGGAUGCGGAAUUCCAGGUGUAGCGGUGAAAUGCGUAGAUAUCAGGAGGAAUACCGGUGGUGUAGACGGCUCUCUGGACCGCCACUGACGCUGAGACACGAAAGCGUGGGUAGCAAACAGG